rnacentral:rRNA from 1 species
ACGGAGGGGGCAAGCGUUGUUCGGAAUUACUGGGCGUAAAGGGCGCGUAGGCGGCCAGGUCAGUCAGGCGUGAAAGCCCGGGGCUCAACCCCGGAAUAGCGCUUGAUACUGCUUGGCUUGAGACCGGAAGAGGGUAGUGGAAUUCCCAGUGUAGAGGUGAAAUUCGUAGAUAUUGGGAAGAACACCAGUGGCGAAGGCGGCUACCUGGUCCGGAUCUGACGCUGAGGCGCGAAAGCGUGGGGAGCAAACAGG